CGAAAACUCAGCCGCUAGGCGCUCUCUAUCCCUCCGGCUGAUGCGGUGAUGACGCGCGCCCAGCCGACAUUGCUGGUGGCAACCCCGUGAGCUGUCUCGGGGUAGUCGGUGCUGAUGCCGCCGUCGGCGCAGACGACGUCCAGCUCGGGCACUCCCGGAUAAGAUGUCCCGGUUGGCCACACUUGAAACACUUGCCAUCGCGCUGCGGGCAAGUCGACACUCGGUGCUCACCGCCAUAAAUAACACAUCGAGGAGGCCUCCAGUUCCUUGACUGCUGUCGGGGAUACCGAAGGGGUUUUUUAGCAUUCGGCCGGCCCCCCGGCACCGCCCGCCGUUCUCUUCUUG
rnacentral:lncRNA from 1 species